UUAGAAUGUUAUGUAACGUUUACGUUGGGAAAGAAGUUCUAAAUGUCAUCAUCUAACCUAAAUAAUCAGAAAUCUCAGGCACCACUGCACUGUCUGCUGUUUUCUGAACUCUGGAACAUGCUGUCCAGAUUGGUCCAGAAAGUCCCCUUCUCUGGAGAGACUCAAAACCCAUCUGGAUGUGAUCCUGGGCAACGUGCACUAGCUCCUGCUCUGCCUUUGGAUCAUAGAAAUAACAGUUCAUAGAGACCAGGUGACACCACCUGGCAAGUACGGAGGCAUGGAAUAAACAUUUGUGACGCUAUGACAGCUAAAUUUCCUUGCUGGACAGAACAGUUUAUCGAAAUUUCCCUGUGCUCUGUAGGAUCCCAUUAAAGCAGCGUUAAUGAGAUGAAUAUCAGCUUCCUAUCCUCCCCAUGACGACUUAGCUGAUUUACGGACAUACCUACAGCAUGAGUGUUGGUGACUUUUAUGUCCAGAAGGAAUACAUACAGCUCCAAUGGAUGAAAAAAUAGUUUGAUAUUUGCAUUCCUACUUUCAACAAAUUACCCUCAGGAAAAGGCAUAAUGCCUUUAUUCCUUGGCUCAGAUCUUUAA